GACGAACGCUGGCGGCGUGCCUAAUACAUGCAAGUUGAGCGCUGAAGGUUGGUACUUGUCCCAACUGGCUGAGCAGCGAACGGGUGAGUAACGCGUGGGGAAUCUGCCUUUGAGCGGGGGACAACAUUUGGAAACGAAUGCUAAUACUGCAUAAAAACUUUAAACACAAGUUUUAAGUUUGAAAGAUGCAAUUGCAUCACUCAAAGAUGAUCCCGCGUUGUAUUAGCUAGUUGGUGAGGUAAAGGCUCACCAAGGCGAUGAUACAUAGCCGACCUGAGAGGGUGAUCGGCCACAUUGGGACUGAGACACGGCCCAAACUCCUACGGGAGGCAGCAGUAGGGAAUCUUCGGCAAUGGACGAAAGUCUGACCGAGCAACGCCGCGUGAGUGAAGAAGGUUUUCGGAUCGUAAAACUCUGUUGGUAGAGAAGAACGUUGGUGAGAGUGGAAAGCUCAUCAAGUGACGGUAACUACCCAGAAAGGGACGGCUAACUACGUG
rnacentral:rRNA from 1 species